AACACGAACCAAGGAGUCUAUCUAGUAUGCGAGUAAAUGGGCACAAGAAAACCUAUUUGCGUAAAUAACUUGACUGUUAUGGGACUACGAGCUGCACCUGAAUAGGUGCGUUCCUCCAUCCCGGGGUAUUUUCAUAACAUGUGGUUGCUCUCGGGUGGCCACAUAGAAAAUAUACCAUGAGCACACUGGAUAUGACCCGAAAGAUGGUGAACUAUGCCUGAUCAGGUUGAAGUCAGGGGAAACCCUGAUGGAGGACCGAAGCAAUUCUGACGUGCAAAUCGAUUGUCAGAAUUGGGCAUAGGGGCGAAAGACCAAUCGAACCAUCUAGUAGCUGGUUCCUUCCGAAGUUUCCCUCAGGAUAGCUGGAGCAUAAACGAGUCAUACACUAACUCAUACCUGGUAAAGCGAAUGAUUAGAGGCCUUAGGAUCGAAAUGAUUUUAACCUAUUCUCAAACUUUAAAUGGAUAUGUAAAUCAACAUACUUGAUUGAUGUUGAUCGGUUUGCCCCGUUAAACGGGCACGUAAGAUUGUAUGCUCCCAGUGGGCCAAGUUUUGGUAAGCAGAACUGGUGCUGUGGGAUGAACCAAACGCAAUGUUAAGGCGCCUAAAUAAACGACGCAUCAUCGAUACCAUGAAAGGUGUUGAUUGCUGAAGACAGCAGGACGGUGGACAUGGAAGUUGUCA
rnacentral:rRNA from 1 species